GUGAACGCUGGCGGUAGGCCUAACACCUGCAAGUCGAACGGCAGCACAGUAAGAGCUUGCUCUUACGGGUGGCGAGUGGCGGACGGGUGAGGAAUACAUCGGAAUCUACUUUUUCGUGGGGGAUAACGUAGGGAAACUUACGCUAAUACCGCAUACGACCUACGGGUGAAAGCAGGGGAUCUUCGGACCUUGCGCGAUUGAAUGAGCCGAUGUCGGAUUAGCUAGUUGGCGGGGUAAAGGCCCACCAAGGCGACGAUCCGUAGCUGGUCUGAGAGGAUGAUCAGCCACACUGGAACUGAGACACGGUCCAGACUCCUACGGGAGGCAGCAGUGGGGAAUAUUGGACAAUGGACGCAAGCCUGAUCCAGCCAUACCGCGUGGGUGAAGAAGGCCUUCGGGUUGUAAAGCCCUUUUGUUGGGAAAGAAAAGCAGCAGGUUAAUACCCCGCUGUUCUGACGGUACCCAAAGAAUAAGCACCGGCUAACUUCGUG
rnacentral:rRNA from 1 species